UUGCAGAGGGAAGGUCAUGUCGACAACUUCCUUAUUCCAGUUUUUUGUCGCAAGUUGUUCGAGGAUAAUCAUCCUAGUAAAUCUGGGAGGCACCAUUUCUUCUCCUUCAUUGGUGAAAACAUUUUGGAUUAUAAUAAUGAAGCUCAGCUUGAUUUAAUUUCCAAGGCUUUCAUUGGUGCUGCAUCGGCUAGCAAAGGGAAAAGACUGGAGUUAUUUGACAGGCUAUUUUUUCCAAUUUGUCGCUCACAUCACUGGUUUACCUUCUCCGUUGAUUUCAAAUUCAAGCUGUUUGUCUUUCUUGAUUCCCUGUAUAACAAGGACGAUGAUUUCCACACUUCCAUCAAGAAUGUCUUGAUAAACAACUUUGUGAAACUAUGGCAAAUUAUAUUCAAAAGUGAAGA